UCAGUUAUGAAGACCUGAACCGUUUAAAUCAUUAAUUGGUGAAACUUGCUAACCAGCUAAAGACAUGUAGCAAAUAUUUUUUUCCCCCCAUUUGUUUUCAGGGACCUGAUUGAGUUUCACUCCAUUGCAUUGGCAGGAGAAAACAGUCCUGCCCGACUUUUUUGGAGGUUGAAGGACCUCUCACUCGGACACCCUGCAGAUGUUAAAUAACUCCCAGCCACCAGGAUAACGUUCAUAUUCCAGGAUAUUAUUCAGAAGUGUGCAACUUCACAAUGUUGGAUAAAAAUAGAUUCACCCAUGUUAUUGUUUAUCAAAUCAAGCUUUUAUUUAUACAGCACAUUUCAGACAUAAAAUGCAACGCAAUGUGCUUUACAGGAGAAAACUGAUUAAAAAAAGAAAAAAAAAACGAG